GAGAUCAACGUCAAGUUUGGAAGAAGGAACAGAAGGAAAUGACAGCCAUGUUUUGUGGUGCACUGAACCCAAAUCGUGUGACAGACGAUGUGAUAUGAGUGACAGAAUUCUUCUUCAGGGCAGAGAUGAAACCAAAUGUUGGCUCAUCGAAACCAGACGGAAAACCACAUGGACAGUUUGGACAUCGUAUUUACUGACAUCACCGGUUGCAUGUCCUGGUGGAAUUCUCAAAGUUUUACACACUGAACAAAUCAGGAUUGAACCGACCCAAAGUGAGAAUAUUGUU